rnacentral:misc_RNA from 1 species
GAUGAAGAACGUAACGAAAUGCGAUAAGUAGUGUGAAUUGCAGAAUUCAGUGAAUCAUCGAAUCUUUGAACGCACAUUGCGCCCCUUGGUAUCCCGAGGGGCAUGCCUGUUCGAGCGUCAUUUCACCACUCAAGCCUGGCUUGGUGUUGGGCGACGUCCUCUUUGGGGACGCGCCUCGAAACGCUCGGCGGCGUGGCACCGGCUUUAAGCGUAGCAGAAUCUUUCGCUUUGGAAGUCGGGGCCCCGUCUGCCGGAAGACCUGCUCGCAAGGUUGACCUCGGAUCAGGCAGGGAUACCCGCUGAACUUAAGCAUAUCAAUAAGCGGAGGA